rnacentral:rRNA from 1 species
UACGAAGGGGGCUAGCGUUGCUCGGAAUCACUGGGCGUAAAGGGUGCGUAGGCGGGUCUUUAAGUCAGGGGUGAAAUCCUGGAGCUCAACUCCAGAACUGCCUUUGAUACUGAGGAUCUUGAGUCCGGGAGAGGUGAGUGGAACUGCGAGUGUAGAGGUGAAAUUCGUAGAUAUUCGGCGGAACACCAGUGGCGAAGGCGACUCACUGGCCCGAUACUGACGCUGAGGCGCGAAAGCGUGGGGAGCAAACAGG